rnacentral:tRNA from 1 species
GUAAAUAUAGUUUAACAUAAAACACUAGACUGUGAUUCUAAAAACAGAAGAGAAAAUCUUCUUACUUACC